CUAUUUUGCAACCAUGAGUUUACGUGCCUAACUUUAAUCGUCUGUCUUAUUUAUUUUUUUUUAUAAUUAGUAUUUUUAUUGUUAUAAGAUGAUAAAAUAUGAAUAGUACUUUAUGCGUAACUUAUGUUUUUAAAUUUUUUUAAAAAAAAUUUAAAUAAGACGGACGAUUAAAAUUGGGCACGAAAAGUCAUGGCUACACUUAAA
rfam:Oryza nivara chromosome 1, whole genome shotgun sequence.